rnacentral:lncRNA from 1 species
CGUGGGGUUCUAUAGGAUCACUGACGGGAUCAGUGGGGUGGUUUAUAGGGUCAGACCUGCAGCUCCUGCCCCCCGUUUCCAUCCUUUGGCUGCGGAUCCAGGCUGACGUCUUCGGCCCCGGCUUCGAUGGCGACUUUUAGGGCCGUUUCCAAAUCUAUGGGGUUUUGGGGGUCCCCGCUAUGGGGCGCAGCGCGGAUCAAACCCCGCUCCCGAAACGCAGCGCCAGGAACCUCCGACACAGCGGCCCUAAAAGGGGGGGUGGGAAUUUAGGGGGCAGCUGGGGGGUCUCUAUGGGGUCUAUGGGGUCUCUAUGGGGAUCUAUGGGAUCUACGGGUCUCUAUGGGGCUCUGUGGACUCUGUGGGGUCUCUAUGGGAUCUAUGGGGUCUCUAUAGGGUUCUAUGGGGUCUCUAUGGGAUCUAUGGGUCUCUAUGGGGUCUCUAUGGGAUCUAUGGGCCUCUAUGGGAUCUAUGGGGUCACUAUGGAACUCUAUGGGGUCUGUAUGGGGUCUAUGGGUCUCUAAGGGAUCACUAUGCAAUCUAUGGGUCUCUAUGGGAUCUAUGGGUCUCUAUGGGGUCUAUGGGGUCUCUAUGGGAUCUAUGGGUCUCUAUGGGGUCUAUGGGUCUCUAUGGGGUCUAUGGGUCUCUAUGGGGUCUAUGGGAUCUCUAUGGGGUCUGUGCGGUCUCUAUGGGGCUCUAUGGGAUCUAUGGGUCUCUAUGGGUCUCUAUGGGGUCUAUGGGGUCUGUAUGGGAUCUAUGGGGUGGCUAUGGGGUGGCUAUGGGGCAGCUAUGGGGCCAGCCCUACCCGUCCCGUGCCAGCAGCCCCUUUAUGCUGCCAUCCUCUGCCUUCCUCCCGUCGCUGACGAUGAUGAUGGUGGAGCCGCCGGGACCCCGAGCUGCCAGCAGCCGCUGCGACCCCAAAGCUUUGCCCUAUAGGGAGACAUGGGGGGCAGCCCCAUAAGUUGGGGGGCUCACACUGCCCCAUAGAUUUCCCCUAUAGGGGAUCUAUGGGGUUAUAGGGCUGCCCCAUAAGUUGGGGGCUCACACGGCCCCAUAGGUUUCCCCUAUAAGGGAUCUGUGGGGUUAUGGGGCUGCCCCAUAAGUUGGGGGGCUCACACUGCCCCAUAGAUUCCCCCUAUAUGGGAUCUAUGGGGUUAUGGGGCUGC